UUGCGCAGUCGAGUAGCAUCUUCAGCACCGGGAGCGAACCAUCAGGACACGGUUUUGCCGGCUUUGCGUUGAAGCCGCCGUGGCGUGUCCCUCUCGCGUGGUGGCGAGCCGGUGCCUCUGUCACGUUCGUGCAUCCGCGUCUGCGGCGCCAUUGUGCCUCUCCGUGAGCUGCUGCUCCCCGUCGUUGCUUUUGCCCACGGCUCUUGUCCACGGCUUUGCUUUGUUGUUCUCUCUCGGUGAUGCUGUGUCGCCGCGUCUGUGCUGCCCCAUCACUAGCCGUCGGCCCGACGGGGUCGUCGUCGCUGUCGUUGACGCCUUCUCCGGCGGACAGCCAACAACGUCGCUCGCUGAAGACCCUCGAUGUGCGUGAGUAUCGUCCGCUCGGCACCCCCAUCGAGUUCCGCUUCUACCAGCGCUACGCCAAUCACCCCAACCGACAGUCUGGCGUGCAGUUCUUGACCCAUUACAACACGCACCAGCGUUUUCGCGUCAACAAGGACUUCAUUGACUACAUGCACUGGGGCAAGGAGCAAGGGCAGGCGCGUCUGCCGCACCGGCACCAACGCGUCGCGUUCGACUUCGACGACGCGCUGCAGCCGACGCGCGCAGAGGGAGACGUGAGCGCCUGGUUCGCUGGCCAGGACCCGACGAUGGGGUCGCACCCCGAUAUCUCGACCAGCUUCGAUCCGAACAAGAAGCUCUUCUCGCACCCGGAACACUGGAACAAGAUGUUCUCCAAGCGCCGCCCCGGCGAGGGCGACAUCAAGCUGAAUGUCAUACCCUCCAACAGCCUGCUCGGGCCGAUGGUGACCCAGACGGACACACAGGAGAUGGCCUACUUCAAGACCGAAACGUGCGGCCCCACGCACGGCCGCGUACCGGGUAUCAACGCCCCGUUCAAGGGCGAGAUGGACCGCAAGAUGAUGCAAGCGAUGUCGCGACCGCUUAACCGCAGUCGCACCCUCACCGGCAAUAACGGGCGCUUUUCCAACACGAUCUUCAUCAACGACCCGAAGCGCCAUCAGACUCUCUCGGCGACCCUUGCCAAGGAGUUGAAUCGCGAGGUCGACAGGGCCACAAAUGGGCUCUACUCCAAGCUUACAGUCCUCACCUCCGCCCAGUCGGGGCUGACGGACUUCUUCUGUGGAGGCACCGAUCUACAGAGCAUCGGCUUCGACCUCAACCUGGCACAGCUGCUCCGAAAAGAGGCCGAGGCGCUGACCAAGUCGUCCGUGUCGGGGAGCAAGAAAGUGGAGGCGAAGGUGCAGGAACUGAUCCGAGAUGCGGAGCGCUACGAGGAGCGCGCCGACUCAGUCCUGCGCGAAAACGCGGCGGUCAUCUGGCGCGCCUACACGAGCCCACGCGCUCUCAUGACGCUCGUCAACGGCAAGUGCCGCGGCACAGGAUGCGGGCUGGCGCUGGCGGCGAAGUACGCCGGACUGCAAGACGCCAGCGAGUUCAUCGUGGACGGCCCGAACGUGGGGCUCACUCCGUACAGCGGAAUGACGCGGCUGCUGGCGCGCCCAGAGACGUCCCUCAAAUACCCUGGGCUGGCAGAGUUCGUGAUGCUCACCGGGGCGUCCCUCUUCGCCGGCGACGCGCUGCGGUUGGGCUGGUCGGACCUGUUCACAUCACUGCCGGACAUGCCUUACCACAUCAAGGAUUGGUUCGACAGCACAGAGCACAUGCACAAUGACGCCGUGGCGUGGCAGCUAGGGCACCUGCUCGAGAGGUGCUUCCAGAUGAAGGACCGCUGGCACACGAGCGCGAUGGAGCGCUGCGCUAUGACGCCGAUUCGUGCCCGCUGGGUCGAGGACGCGUUCGCCGACCAGUCCUCCAUCGAAGAGAUCCUCAAGACCCUAAGCGCGAUGGAGAAGCUGCCUCUCACGGACCGCCACAACACCUACGAUCCCUCCUACGCCACCCCGUACACGCUUGCGAGCGUGGCCGAAGGAGUAGAAAAGCUGAGUGCGUCACGGCUGCGCUACACCCUGUCGCCGUGGGAUGCGACGCCUCCGGAGGAGGCCGUGGAGGUGCGGCAAGCCGCGGAGAUCUUCACGUCCUACGUGCUGGAGCGCCGGGGUAAGGUGAACAUCGUGGCCCACCGCGAUCGGCACAAGGCGCAGGCGUGGCAGAAGCAGCGCGAGCGCGAGUACGUGGCGUACAGCAACAUGAAGAGCGCCCCACACCGUCGCCACGUGUAUGCCCGACUGGAGGGGUGCGAGGGGACGCUGGUGGACUUUGACUUCACGGUCGACCCUGCCGGCGACGCGGCGGCCGCCGUUGCCGAGAAGGGUGCCGGCGUAGACGACAAUAGCGAGCUGGUGCACACGGCCUCGGUGGACCGCCUGAAGCGAGCCGUUCUGCAAGCCAUGGGCAUGCCCGCUGAUCGCGAUAUCGACCUCUGCUGGUAUCUGCCAACCCUCGACACCUGCCCGAUCCGCAACGACGAGGAGCUGGUCGACGUGCUGCACAGCGACCCUGGCUUCGAGGACUCGAGCGCGCAGCUGCGGUAUCCGCCGAUCUACUUUCUCGUAAAGCGCAACACACUGCAUCUGUCGGAGUGGGCCUACGCCGUGAAGCAUCAGCUUCUACUGCAGUCGCCCUACGCCCUCAAGGCGACGCUGCAGCUGCUGCAGGAGGUGCGGGGCGACGGCUCCGCCGAGGCGGUGCGCUCGCUCGCCGACACGUUGGCUACAGAGUACCGCUACGCGACCCGCCUGCUGAAGCGGCCCGACUUUUAUCAGGUGGGCCAGCACGUGGACAAGUCGCCCGAGGAGUGGGGCAUCGUCAAGGAGGAGCGAGUGCGCUACGUGCACAAGGAGCAUCUGCCCUCUCGGCCGCUGCCGGACUACGAGGUGGUCUUUGAGCGAAACGUCCAGCUGGAUGGGCACACGUUUCAGCUCCGGCCACGCUGGUCUCCGCGCACAGUGCAGGAGGUGACCGCCGAGUCUCUCGCGCCCCUUGCAACCCCGCUCGACUUCGAGAAGGACGGCGCGGUGGAGUUCAACGUCGUCGUGUACGCCAGCAAGGCGGAUCGGCUGGCUGGUAUGAUUGAGGAUGCCGGCGGCCUCGAGGUCGUGGCCCAUCUUGGCGAGGUGGACAAGGAAGGUAAUGCCAAGGUGCCGCCACUGCAUGGCGACGCGCACGUGCCGACCAACGUGAGCUUUUACGAGAUGGCCCGUCACCCGUGGGAGGAUACGCCGUCCUCGUGGCGCCGCGACGGCUUCACCGCUGGCUCCAAGGAGUACUUUGAUCAGCAGUACAAAAAGGCGGAGAAGGCCGUGUAUGACGAAGCUGGUCGUGGGCAGCGUAACUACUGGCCCUCAAAGGCCGCUGUGGAUGGCGUCACUGGUGAGGAGUCGAAUGCGCUGCUGGAGGAGCGCUUCUUUGCCAAGCUGCGCGAUGCGGAGCGCGGCGUCGAGUCGUGGGCUCGUCAGCUGCGCAAGAAGGCCGUCGAGGGCAAGCUCGACAACAAGACCGAGAUUGCGACGCAGCAGGAGAAGAUCUACGACGACGAUUAUUACCGCUGGUUCAUUCAGCCUGGGCAUAACCCGAACCCCUCCGGCCUGCUUCGCGGUCGCAAGGGUGCCGACAGCGGCAGCAGCUCCGUGGACAAGGACCUCGAGGUGUUUCUCAACCAGCUGUUGAGUGGUGCCGCUGAGCGGGGGGCUGACGGCACCGCUGGCGAUGAAGGCGAAGCGCUUAUUUUGCCCGAAGAGGACGCCGACGAGGCCGCUGAUAGCACAUGAGAAGGUGCCGUCUAAGUGAACCGUUGUCGGGAGAAGGGCACUCCUGUCCGCCUUCAGUGUUGUAGUAGUUUCGCUAGCGUGGAUUCUCUCUCUCGGUCUCGCUUGCGGUUUUUUUUGUACGGAUGUCUUGGCGUGAAGGUGCCUGCGUGCAUCGUCGCGUUCGGUGCUUGGCCUGUUUUUACUUUGUGGAGCAUCGCUCUCUCCAUCCCUCUCCCCCUCGCACGACCCCCCCCCCCACCCUCGCUCCUUCUCUCCGCCUCCAGACUGGCAAUCGAAUCGGCCUGUUUCUCACAUACCCUUGUUGUUGUUUGUCCCUUUCUCUGUCUUUUUCGCUCUCUCUCUGAUUCCUCGUGACUAUGAGCACCUGACUGUGUGGUAUCACAGGGUUCCCUGCACUUUCACUGUGGGAGGAAGCCAAGCAGCCCCUCCUUGUCCCCUGCCAAUGCCGAACCACCUCUGGUAGUGGCAGGUUCAUGCACCUACGGCGUAGGGGGAGUUCAGAGCGAUGCACCGCUACGGAUGCCGGCGCCGAGGCUGCGGAUGAUGGUGCGCCGGAGGGACCUGCGACCGUGGACACGCCUGCACACCGUCCAUAUGGUGGGCAAAGCGUCAGCGUGACUCGAGUGUGUAUGGCACCCGGCCCUCACACUGCCGGCUGGUGCGGAGAGGCUGAGCCACCCCAGGGGAAGGAUGCACCAGGUGGCGACCGGCAUGAUGCGAGAGCGACUGUGAGACAGCCUGCGAAGUCUAGGGUGGGUAGAGUUCGAGGCAUGGGGCCGUGCUCUCAGAUGACUGGGUCGACGCAUUGCUGAAAGGCGUGUCUAGAGCUGCCUCGCACCACGCGAUAGGGGCCUGUGACAGGCCGGGGGGCGUUCGAGUGGAGUUGAGCUCGGCUUGAAUGGCAGAGAGUGGACACGCUGCGAUGCUUUUCUUGAGUUGUCUCUCCUACGCGUUGUGGUGGCGUUGCCUCGCCUCGUAUUUGUUUCGUUGUGAAAGGAAGGCACGAUAUCACAACUGUUGCUGAGGCAGAGCGCGAUAGCACACAGGUGCGCACAACACACACACACACACGUGGGCGGCGCAUGAGAGCGAUACUGCCCGACUGCCGUGGCUGCCUCCGUGCAGUCCCUGUCCCACUGCACGUAUGGUCGAUUCGAUAGCGGUGGCGUCUGUGUACAUGUGUGCGUGCCCUGUGUCUUAGUUGGCAUGGGUGGCAUGAGGAAUGGGAUGUCGAUGGACCGUUGUCCAUGUAGCGUUUCGAGCGCGUGCGUAAAGCAAGGGGCACACACACAGAUAAAGUAAAGGCAAGGCGGAACAAAAUGACCGCGCCAACGCGGCUAAGCUCAAGUGGCACAAAAGCACCUUCCUGUCACAGCCAGAUUCAACUGAGAGAAGAAUCGAUGAUGCAGACUAGCACCACGAGGCGGCAGCGCAUUUUUCUUUUCGCAUUUUCUGUGCAUGUGCGUGCGAUUGGGGGAUUGCUUAGCGAAAGCGAACCUCGACUACAACGACGCGCACACCGCUGUCGAGUCGUCAUCUCCUUUGCCUUUUACGAGAAUGUGGUGGAUGGCAAGGGCACGUUUCGGCCCACCGCUCCUUGCACGCGUGGUGCUGCGCGUCUCCCCUCCCCUUGUUUUACACACAGCUCCACUCGCCUGCUGGUUUCGACUAUGUAUUUUUGCCCUCUCUUCCUCCUCAUCCCUCCCUCUUUUCCGUCACACACACACACACACACACCGCUGAUCACCCGUGCUGCCCAUCUCACCGGCAG
rnacentral:misc_RNA from 1 species